rnacentral:rRNA from 1 species
GACGAACGCUGGCGGCGUGCUUAACACAUGCAAGUCGAACGAAAAGAGGGAAAGAGCUUGCUCUUUCCGGAAUUGAGUGGCAAACGGGUGAGUAACACGUAACCAACCUGCCUUCAGGAUGGGGACAACCGACGGCAACGACCGCUAAUACCGAAUAAGUUCAAAGGGCCGCAUGGCCGAUGGAAGAAAAGGUGGUCUCUACCUGUAAGCUAUCGCCGGAAGAGGGGUUUGGGUCCGCUUAGCCGGCUGGAGGGGUCACGGCUCACCAAGGCGACGAUCAGGAACCGGUCUGGAGGGGUGGACCGCCCCACUGGGACUGGGACCCGGUCCAGGCUCCUUCGGGAAGCAGCCGUGGGGGAUCUUCCGCCAUGGGGCGAAGCCUGGCGGAGCAACGCCGCGGGAGUGAUGACGGCCUUCGGGUUGUAAAACUCUGUUGUCCGGGACGAAAAGGCAGAGUGCGAAGAACAAACUGCAUUGACGGUACCGAAAAAGCAAGCCACGGCUAACUACGUG